rnacentral:lncRNA from 1 species
AUGUGAUUAGGUUUGAACCAUCUAAUUUAUUAUUUGGUUUUAUCUAAUUUUGUGGAAGUGUUCCACAUCGAACCAACCUCCUCCAUGUCAAGCCACACGCCCCAUUUAAUUUUGGAUGCCCCAUUUAAUUUGGCAUCUAAGGAGAGGAGUCCUUCUCCUUUACUCCUCUUAAUUUUCUUACAUCUUCUACACAUCCCUUUGAUUUGUGCACCAUUAGAUGACGCAUAGGGACAUAUGGGCAUAGAAGAUAUGGUGGAGUCCUUCUCUUGGAAGGAACACCAUGCCAAUU